GAUGAACGCUAGCGGCAGGCUUAAUACAUGCAAGUCGAACGGUAACAGGUGUAGCAAUACAUGCUGACGAGUGGCGUACGGGUGCGUAACACGUGUGCAACUUACCUUUAACAGGAGAAUAGCUCCGAGAAAUUGGAAUUAAUACUCCAUAAUAUUAAUUUAUGGCAUCGUAGAUUAAUUAAAGUUCAGGCGGUUAAAGAUAGGCACGCGAAACAUUAGCUAGUUGGAGAGGUAACGGCUCACCAAGGCAACGAUGUUUAGGGGUUCUGAGAGGAUUCACCCCCACACUGGUACUGAGACACGGACCAGACUCCUACGGGAGGCAG
rnacentral:rRNA from 1 species